GGGCUUUCGUUUCCCGCCUUGCUCUGCUGGCCCAAUGGGGAGCCGCUUUUUGUCCCCACUUGGGCCAAUCAGAGAGGAGGAGGCGGGAGCUAUUGAAACAAUGAAGUGACAGGACAGGAAAUAUCAGAUUAAUUCUGGCCCAGCCGAUUUCUAAAGGAAUUAAUGGCACCCAUCAAGGAUGUCCGGGGUCCUGUCAUGUUCACAGGUUUUUAGAUAUGUCUUGGGGUGUCAGACGGGAAGUAAAGAAGGGUGGUGAUGAGCCGUCAUUGACGGGCCCCACAGGGUGCCUUCCUGAGGCGUCCUGGCCUGGGAUAUGACAAUGUUUGCCUUGGGGUCGAAUCACCUUUAGGAAUUUGGUGACUCAAGCCCUAUAUUGUCCAUGCGAUCGGAAUGAGAUUGGAUUAAACUGUGGCAGAUUAUCCUUUUGUUUUUGGGAAGGGAGGUCUAGGGUUCACGUUGGGGUCAUAAUAUUUCCCAUUUGAUUCCAUGAUUUGACAAUUAUAUGGGAUAAAAUGAAAAUUAAAAUAAAGUUGGAACAUAAACCCAGCUGGGAAAAACACAUAUUUUCCGGGGAUCCCAAAGAGUAUAAAUACAUAUAGGCAGAUAGGUAGAUUUCAAGGAGGAAAGGGAGAAUCCAUAGGGGGGGGGGGGUUACAUUGCACAAAAGGGAACCAUGGAUGAUAUAAACAAUUGAAAACAUUUGAUAAGAAUGAGGUUUACAACAUCUGGGGAACCCAAUAUGGAAAGUCAUAGGAGUGGAGUUCAAGCAGCAUGAUUUCACAAUUCAUGAAGUUAGCCCAAUCGAUUAGGAAUUCAUACAACAGUGGGUCAUGAGGGUGUCCAGGUACAUAGAAUAUGCAAAUUCAUGGAUACAUGAGGAAAAAGAGUUCAUCUGUGAUGGGAGGAAUUCGUAGAGACGGCAUGGGGAAGAGGCACAUGUGGGUUGCAGUCUUUGGAAGUAUAGGAUUUCAUAAGUCCAGGGGUAGGUCUGGGGAAGAGGCACAUGUGGGUUGCAGUCUUUGGAAGUAUAGGAUUUCAUAAGUCCAGGGGUAGGUCUGGGGAAGAGUGUUCUUCUCCUUCAUAAAAUCAUGAAAAUAUGAAUGAAACGUGGAGGGCACCCGUCCGGGCACCCCCUGGCAGCUGUAGAGAGGGUAAGGGUUCUUGGAGAACUAUGUUUCCCCAGCGAGAGAGCGAUCCCCCCAUCCCCAGUUCACAGAAAGGGGCUAGGGAUCUCUUAAAACCAUUCCGCGGGCCGCGGGGAGAGGAAAGUCCGGGAUAAGGCUGGAGGAGGGCAGUCGGUCCCGUUUGACAGUCAGCUGUUGAGGUGCCGAAAACUGGACCGAUUCCGGUUCCGCUGGUUGUCUUCGAGUCAGGAGCCUUAGAAAGGGUUAGGACUAAAAGAGGAGCGUUCUAGGGGUAAUUUUGAUAGAGAUAUGAGCCGAUUUGUAUCGUCCGCCAUAUUAAUCUAUGGCGGAGAAACCUCAGCCGGAGUUAAAGGGACGGGAGAGAGAGAGAAAUUGCAUGCAAAGGAAGGAGUCAGAGAAAGAUACAAAAUAACCAGAUAGAGAGUGUUACUGUUAAAAUGAAUGCUACUUUUAUUGGGGGAUUUGUUACAUAGUUCAGGGAAGGGGAAAGUGAAAUAAAAAAGAUCUCUUAAUAAUAGUCUGCUGCGGUCCCGUUCCGUUCCUUUGGUGAGCGAUCUGCGGAACUCUCCGCUGCGUUUUCAAAUCAAUUUGAAAGCCGGGGUGACGGUCAUCACUCCCUGCAUAAGCAUACCUAAAUUUCCUACUUUAUAGAUGCAAUUAUCUUUCGGGUUGCUUAGGUCAACAGUGAGCUGGGCUAUUUUAAUGGUCGAAUGCUCAAUCUGAUGCAGGCUGGCUUCGAACUCAUGACCUCUUGAUCAGUAGUGAUUUAUUGCAGCUGGCUACUAACCAGCUGUGCCACAGCCCAGCCCUUAUUUCUCUCCAGCAUAUCUCAUGCUUCAAAGUACAGUAGAGUCUCGCUUAUCCAACAUAAACAGGCCAGCAGAACGUUGGAUAAGUGAAAAUGUUGGAUAAUAAGGAGGGAUUAAGGAAAAGCCUAUUAAAUGUCAAAUUACGUUAUGAUUUUGCAAAUUAAGACCAAAACAUUAUGUUUUACAACAAAUCGACAGAAAAAACAGUUCAAUACAUGGUAACGUUAUGUAGUAAUUACUGUAUUUACGAAUUUAGCACCAAAACAUUGCAAUGUAUUAAAAACAUUGACAACAAAAACAUUGACUACUAAAAAUUAACUACAAAAAAGGUAGAAUUGCAUAAAAUGAACUUAGUAAAAGGUAAAGGUUUCCCCUGACGUUAAGUCCAGUCAUGUCUGACUCUGGGGGUUGGUGCUCAUCUCCAUUUCUAAGCCGAAGAGCCGGCGUUGUCCGUAGACACCUCCAAGGUCAUGUGGCAGGAAUGACUGCAUGGAGUGCUGUUACCUUCCCGCUGGAGCGGUACCUAUUGAUCUACUCACAUUGGCAUGUUUUCGAACUGCUAGGUUGACAGAAGAAAAUGAACUUACAGUAACAAUAUUGUCAGAAGUUAAAUCUGUAAAAAGUUUAGUCCUUGAUGCCUAGAGAAAGAGCUGUUGAUCUGGGUAGGAGGCAGACUGCGUUGGAUAAUGCAGAAUGUUG
ensembl:lncRNA